ensembl:lncRNA COQ7-DT COQ7 divergent transcript
ACUUCGUUGAACGGAACUGGCCAAUAGUGCCCUUGGCUCGGACUGAUGACGCACAGCAGACGUAAGGAAGGCUCAGCUCGCCCGCGCACCGGAAAAAGCAAAGAGGAACUUUACAAACUAUUACAGUUUUCCAUCAUCACUUGACUGCUGACAAGAAGCCUCUUUGAAUUCCAGUAUACACGAUCACAUUUUAAAACCUUCAAGACGCCGUUUAAUCAGGAGUUGUAAGGCACAUUUGUUAGAGAGAGCUGCACUUUAAAAGUUAUACAGACAUCACCUGAAGUUAUUAAAGUUAUCAAAACAUAUUAAAAACCUUCAAGUAAGAGGCUACUCCCCAGGAAACGUGUGGAGCCAGUGAAC